rnacentral:pre_miRNA from 1 species
UUUUCUGGGCAAUGAAUCUAGGUUCUCUCUUGCUCCAUUUUUUCAUAUUUUCCUUGUGAAAAUAUGUCUUCAAGAGCGUAAGGGAGAACCUAGAUUCAUUACCCAGCAAAAG